CACACACCCUGUUUUCUCCCCAGUAAGCUGCUAUAUUUUUAAUGUCUCCAUUAGCUUUUGGAACAACUGACAGCUUUAAGCUUUUCCCUGCAAUGAGCUCCAAUGUGGAAACAUCAUGCAGCUUUCAAUCACAAGACAAAUGGCUAAAGAUUUUUAGAGGAGGUUCCAGUUCCAGAAUAGGAAGCCUGCCCAGUCAACCCUACACUUUUAAUAUAAUUAUUAUUUAUUCAUGACCAACCAUAAAUGCACCUGGUUCCUGCAGUACUACUUGUCUUCAGAAAUGCCCUUGCUGAAAUUGCAGACACUGCAGAAAAGCGAAAUUCAUGAAAACUUGGGUGAAACCACUCUGUUGUCACAACUUCAUAAUGACCUUACUAACAAGCUGGAUACCAGCCCCAACAGCAAUUCUUCUCUUACAUUUUUGGAGAGCAAAGGUAUAUGCUUCUGGAAACCCAGAGGAGGAAAUAGAUUACACAUAUGUUAUUAUAGGAGCUACUCUGGGAGCAGUUCUAGCAAUCGGUUUUGUAGCAGUAAUAAUCUGCAUGAUCAAAUCCAAAAUGAUUGA
rnacentral:lncRNA from 1 species